rnacentral:tRNA from 1 species
GGGUGGGUAGCUCAGUGGUUAGAGCUUAGCUCUCGUAACCGAAAGGUCUCGGGAUCGAAUCCCGCUAGAGCUA